UUCCCUGUGGCUCAGUUGGUAGAGCAUGGUGUUUGCAAAGCCAGCAUGGUGUGUGCAAUGCCAGGGUUGUGGGUUUGAUUCCCACGGGGGGAC
rfam:Salmo salar isolate Sally breed double haploid chromosome ssa14, whole genome shotgun sequence.